rnacentral:sRNA from 1 species
CUGCGCAUUUCUUUGGCUUUCCUCUUUCCUCUCUCGCAUACCUCGGGUUCCAUCGUCUGCCGUUCUGUUUUCUGUCUUCAUCUUUCUUCGUUGGUACUGGAUAAUGGCUACUUCAUUCGUACAACUCAGGAGAACUUACCUCCUCUCUUCACUUUAUAUGAAGAGGAUUUGUGAAGUUGCUGUGAUUUCAUGGUACUCAUGAUCAGUUUUUGGAUUUGAUUUGAAGGAAUUUCUAGGGUUCAUUGAAACGGUGGUCUUCAUUUUUUGGGGCUAUUGUGUGUAGGCUUCCAAGCUGUUUGUGCUUGAGGAUGUUGGAAGAGUCCUCUUCCGAGCACAUGUCGAGAGUCAACUCAAGGUUAACAGAUUUGUAUAUUUAUUAUUUGUGUAUUGAAUAAGAAUUAGAUAAUGGUUCAUGAACACAAAAUGAUUUUGGCAUAUAUACAGAAUGAGAUAAUGUUUAAGCCUGACCUGUUUGUGGCGCCUCAUCCAGAAUUGCCACUUUUGCUUUUGGAUCAAAUGACGUAUGUUGUAUAGCAUCUUGGUAUUUACAUAAAUAUCAUUUGUAACAAAAAACAGAAUGAAUUGAAGCAAAACCUUGGUGU